AUUGAACGCUGGCGGCGUGCCUCAGACAUGCAAGUCGAACGAUUAAGACUUCCUUCGGGAAGUGCAUAAAGUGGCGCACGGGUGAGUAACACGUAAGUAAUCUACCCUCGAGUGGGGAAUAACGUUCGGAAACGGACGCUAAUACCGCAUAACGCAGCGGCACCGCAAGGUGACAGUUGUUAAAGGAGCAAUCCGCUUGAGGAGGAGCUUGCGGCAGAUUAGCUAGUUGGUAGGGUAAUGGCUUACCAAGGCUACGAUCUGUAUCCGGUCUAAGAGGACGGUCGGACACACUGACACUGAAUAACGGGUCAGACUCCUACGGGAGGCAGCAGUCGGGAAUUUUGGGCAAUGGGCGAAAGCCUGACCCAGCAACGCCGCGUGAAGGAUGAAGUAUUUCGGUAUGUAAACUUCGAAAGGAUAGGAAGAAUAAAUGACGGUACUAUUUAUAAGCUCCGGCUAACUACGUGCCAGCAGCCGCGGUAAUACGUAGGGAGCAAGCGUUGUUCGGAUUUACUGGGCGUAAAGGGCGCGUAGGCGGCGCGGUAAGUCACUUGUGAAAUCUCUGAGCUUAACUCAGAACGGCCAAGUGAUACUGCAGUGCUAGAGUGCAGAAAGGGCAAUCGGAAUUCUUGGUGUAGCGGUGAAAUGCGUAGAUAUCAAGAGGAACACCUGAGGCGAAGGCGGGUUGCUAGGCUGACACUGACGCUGAGGCGCGAAAGCCAGGGGAGCAAACGGGAUUAGAUACCCCGGU
rnacentral:rRNA from 1 species